GGCCCCAUCGUCUAGCGGUCCAGGACGUCGGGCUUUCAUCCCGAAAAUCACGGGUUCGAUUCCCGUUGGGGUCA
rnacentral:tRNA from 1 species